rnacentral:rRNA from 1 species
UACGGAGGGGGCUAGCGUUGUUCGGAAUUACUGGGCGUAAAGCGCACGUAGGCGGACUGUUAAGUCAGGGGUGAAAUCCUGGAGCUCAACUCCAGAACUGCCUUUGAUACUGAGAAGCUUGAGUCCGGGAGAGGUGAGUGGAACUGCGAGUGUAGAGGUGAAAUUCGUAGAUAUUCGCAAGAACACCAGUGGCGAAGGCGGCUCACUGGCCCGGUACUGACGCUGAGGUGCGAAAGCGUGGGGAGCAAACAGG